rnacentral:rRNA from 1 species
GACGAACGCUGGCGGCGUGCUUAACACAUGCAAGUCGAACGGAAAGGCCUGCUUUCCCUUGUGGAUUGCGGGUACUCGAGUGGCGAACGGGUGAGUAACACGUGAGUGAUCUGCCCCCAACUUGGGUAUAAGCCUCGGAAACUGGGUCUAAUUCCCGAUAGGACUGCAGGGUGGUGCCUGUGGUGGAAAACGAUUUUCUAGUGGUUGGGGAUGAGCUCGCGGCCUAUCAGCUUGUUGGUGGGGUAAUGGCCUACCAAGGCGGCGACGGGUAGCCGGCCUGAGAGGGUGGACGGCCACAUUGGGACUGAGAUACGGCCCAGACUCCUGCGGGAGGCAGCAGUGGGGAAUAUUGCACAAUGGGCGGAAGCCUGAUGCAGCGACGCCGCGUGGGGGAUGACGGCCUUCGGGUUGUAAACUCCUUUCGACCGCGAGGAAGCCACCUGGUUGGAAGGGUGGUGACGGUAGUGGUAGAAGAAGCACCGGCUAACUACGUG